rnacentral:lncRNA from 10 species
GCAGAAGUAACCUGUAAUUUCCAGGCCCGAGUUCCUGCCACUUCAAGACUUCACCACCUGAGACAAUGAGCAGCAGCAAAGGGAGAAAGCAGCUGCUCAAAUUCUCCAGUAUGUGUGGAUGGAGUGAGGAGGGAUGCUGGGAUAAAAUACUUAGAGAAAAACCCCAGCCCAGGGGCAUGGGCCCAAAUACUGAGGGGCAAAACCUGAACCAGAAGCACCUAUAUGAUGAGAAAGUGAAGAAAAAAAAGGAUGACAGUAAAAUGGUACUGGAAUUAGGGACAUCAUAAAAAUUGACCUCGGUUUUAGAUGUUGAAGAAAUGACAAAAUGAAUAGAAAAAUUAGUAGAG